GCUAGCAGCCAUAUCACCCUGCAACUCACAACUGGCAACCUACUGAAGCUAAGCAGGUGGGAGCCUGGUCAGUACCUGGAUGGGAGACCUCCUGGGAAAAUCUAAGGUUGCUGCUGGAA
ensembl:rRNA 5S_rRNA 5S ribosomal RNA